rnacentral:lncRNA from 1 species
AUGCUUGUUUACAGUUGGUUCAGACCCGGCUAGAUCACCAUCCCACUGAACUGCACUUGGGAUGAGCCUAGCUCGGCCUACUGAACUGCUGGUCAGUUCAUGACAAUAACCAGGUUCAUGACAGGUUCAGGUUCAUAACCAGGUUCACAUGAUCUAGCUCUGACCAAAACUAAAAAGAGAACAAAACCGACCAAAACUAGUAUACAUACAUUUCAUCUCAGCCUAAACUCGAGAAAACAACUAAUGUGCACUGAAUCGCAUAUAAAUGUCAUACUCAACAUUUAGGGGCAUCAUUGACAUUGCACAACACCUACAAUUCCUACAGCUAUCCAGCAGCGGGGUAAACAAACAAUCAGCUUCUGAUCUCAGGAAUCUACAGCCACAACUAAUUUUCAGGAAUCCACAGCCAUGGUGAUUCUUAGGAAUUUGUAGCCCAAACAAAGCGGGCGUAAGCACUGAAAAUGUACUCAGUUACCGUUGUGAUGUUUGGCGCAUUGGCUCGUCUCUGUCUGAGGCGUUGUUGCGUGGGGGUCAAGGCGUUAAGGAAUACUCGCUCUUGCUGAAGCCUCUACAUUCAUUAACAAAUAACAAAGUAAAGAAGAUAGCUAAUGCAUCUACAGAAAUAGAAGGGAAAAAAGCAGAGUUUGAACUAACAUUACGGGUUUCAGCAUUAUCUGCAGUACGAUCCGAAGCAUUUUUCGGCAUCUGUCAGGUGAGCAAAGAAGAUGGAUUAAUCCAAAAUUAUGAACAAGAAAAAGGAGAGAGAGAGAGAGAGAGAGAGAGAGAGAGGAGGGAAGAGAGGGGAACACUUGAGAGAAGAUGAGAAACACACUUGAUGAAAGAAACCAACACAGAGAUCUCUAGAUCUACAAGGGAGAGAUGGACUGUUCGAGAUGACUAACAAUGCAAAUGCAGUGCAAGAUGAACAUACAUUAAGAAAAAUAGAGAGAGAGGGAGACUAACCCUAAACCAUAAUCCAAGAACAAGAAAAAGGAAAGAAAGAGAGAGGGAGGAGGGAAAAGAGAGGAGGAACACUUGAGAAAGGAUGGAAAACCUCAACACACUUGGACGAUAAAUCCAAAGACAGCAAAGAUCUCUAGAUCUGCAAGAAAGAUGAACUGUUAGAAAAGACUAACAAUGCACUGCAAGAAAUAGAGAGAGGGAUGCUGACCCUAAACCGUGGGAGGGGCCGUGGGAGGGGCGAGGCACAAGGUGGGGGUAGCUGUCGUAAGUGAUGUUUGGUCAUAGGGGAGAGAGAGCGAGCAGAGAAAUAAAUAUGAGCCGAGAUAGAGAGAGAGCAAAUAAACAUGUGAAGGAGCUGUGUGUGUGAGAGAAAAAAGCAUCUCCUAAGAGACAAUGUCGUGACGGGAUUCUAUACAAGGAGGCAAGGGAGUAUUUAACAAAAAACUACCACAAUUCGUGAAACCACGCAUACAAACUACCAUUUUACAAAUUUGUGUGAAAAACUAUCAUUUUUUCACUAAUCUUUGACAAAAAACACUAGUGAUUGAGUUGGACGAAAUUAAACUCGAUUAUGACAGCGCUGGCCCACACAUAAGCAUUGACCCCGCACCUCUGCCCCCAGAUCCCGCACCGCACCACAAGUCAGGGCUCGAUCUGGCCAGCAAGGCCGCUCGCCGGAUCCCACGAGGCAGCGGCCGGCGCCGCGGGAUCCGGCGAGCGCCCGCCCUCCA